UACGGAGGGUGCAAGCGUUGCUCGGAAUUAUUGGGCGUAAAGGGUAGGUAGGUGGUCUCAUUUGUCAGGGGUGAAAGCCUUGGGCUCAACCCAAGAAGUGCCCCUGAAACGGUGAGACUAGAGUCCUAGAGAGGUGAGUGGAAUUCCCGGUGUAGCGGUGAAAUGCGUAGAGAUCGGGAGGAACACCAGAGGCGAAGGCGGCUCACUGGAUAGGCACUGACACUCAACUACGAAAGCGUGGGGAGCAAACAGG
rnacentral:rRNA from 1 species